GCGCCCGUAGCUCAGUUGGAUAGAGCGCUUGCCUCCGGAGCAAGAGGUCACAGGUUCGAAUCCUGUCGGGCGUACCA
rnacentral:tRNA from 1 species